CCUACGGGGGGCUGCAGUGAGGAAUAUUGCCCAAUGGGGGAAACCCUGAGGCAGCAACGCCGCGUGAACGAAGACGGCCUUCGGGUUGUAAAGUUCUUUUCUGGGGGACGACACAGACGGUACCCCAGGAAUAAGUUCCGGCUAACUACGUGCCAGCAGCCGCGGUAAAACGUAGGGGACAAGCGUUAUCCGGAUUUACUGGGCGUAAAGCGCACGUAGGCGGACGGGUAAGUUGGCCGUGAAAGCUCCUGGCUUAACUGGGAGAGGUCGGACAAAACUGCCAGACUUGAGGCUGAGAGAGGAGAGCGGAAUUCCCGGUGUAGUGGUGGAAUGCGUAGAUAUCGGGAGGAACACCAGUGGCGAAGGCGGCUCUCUGGCUCAGAACUGACGCUGAGGUGCGAAAGCGUGGGGAGCGAACGGGAUUAGAUACCCGGGUAGUC
rnacentral:rRNA from 1 species